rnacentral:rRNA from 1 species
AGGGAAACCGAGUCUUAACCGGGCGUUAAGUUGCAGGGUAUAGACCCGAAACCCGGUGAUCUAGCCAUGGGCAGGUUGAAGGUUGGGUAACACUAACUGGAGGACCGAACCGACUAAUGUUGAAAAAUUAGCGGAUGACCUGUGGCUGGGGGUGAAAGGCCAAUCAAACCGGGAGAUAGCUGGUUCUCCCCGAAAGCUAUUUAGGUAGCGCCUCGUGAAUUCAUCUCCGGGGGUAGAGCACUGUUUCGGCUAGGGGGCCAUCCCGGCUUACCAACCCGAUGCAAACUGCGAAUACCGGAGAAUGUUAUCACGGGAGACACACGGCGGGUGCUAACGUCCGUCGUGAAGAGGGAAACAACCCAGACCGCCAGCUAAGGUCCCAAAGUCAUGGUUAAGUGGGAAACGAUGUGGGAAGGCCCAGACAGCCAGGAUGUUGGCUUAGAAGCAGCCAUCAUUUAAAGAAAGCGUAAUAGCUCACUGGUCGAGUCGGCCUGCGCGGAAGAUGUAACGGGGCUAAACCAUGCACCGAAGCUGCGGCAGCGACGUUUAUGCGUUGUUGGGUAGGGGAGCGUUCUGUAAGCCUGCGAAGGUGGCCUGUGAGGGUUGCUGGAGGUAUCAGAAGUGCGAAUGCUGACAUAAGUAACGAUAAAGCGGGUGAAAAGCCCGCUCGCCGGAAGACCAAGGGUUCCUGUCCAACGUUAAUCGGGGCAGGGUGAGUCGACCCCUAAGGC